rnacentral:misc_RNA from 1 species
AGACGGUUUCCCUGCACCCAUAGAUAUCAAAGAGUGGUUUGCUCAUUCUACGAAGGUUAUACAUUUUUUAUCAGGUAAUAGUUCAAGUCUUACAUCUUAUAAAGCUGCUAACUAAAUGAAAUAUUUUAUUAUUUUUCUUUUAUGUAAAGUAGGUGCUCGAGUAUGACUUAACAUAUUAGAGAUAAAUGAUGGAAAAUAAGCAAUAUAAUAAAUUUUAUAAAAAGAUAAAAAGACCAUCGGCACUCUUUCAAAUUGUUAUAGUUGCCUUGGUUUUAGGGUCUUUUGUCACUUUCUUGAAUAUUUACGAACUUCGAAAAUUGCAAAUGGAUCACUUGAAUUUACACAUUGCAAAUCCAGAAGCGGUUAGUGAGAGUUUUAGUAAGAAAUCACCAGUUUAUUGGAUCUUUGGAAAGCAAAUCGACUCCGGUUACCUAGAUCAUGUUAUGAGAGUGCUCGAACGCGUCGGUUAUGUUAGAGGCACUAACAAUUCCAAUUGGGAUUUACUGUGGGCGCAUGAUUAUCCUUUUGGUUCUGUGAAAGGUUUAGAUUCACUUAAGUCCCAUCAAAUGGUUAAUAAAUUCCCGGGUUCAGGGUGGAUAACUAACAAACUAUCUCUUGCUACUUCAAAUAUUAAACAAGCUCCUAAAGCUUUUAAAAUACCUUCGGAAAAAGAUGCUUUUUUUAAAUAUGCAAAGAAAUAUCCUUUAAAAAAAUGGGUACAAAAGAGUAAUAAUCAUCGCGGAAUACGGAUAAGAAGUGUUGAUGAGUUGGAUUUCUCAACUGGGAAUACAUUUGUUCAGGAAUAUAUUGAUAAUCCCUAUUUGAUUGAUGGAAAGAGAUUCGAUAUAGGAAUAUACACAACUUUAGUAUCAGUCGAUCCGUUACGAGUAUAUAUUUUUGACGGAGACUGGUUAAUGAGGUACUGCGCCAAAGAUUAUUACCCUUUUGAUGCUGCAGAUGUUAAAAAAUAUGUCGUGGGCGAUGACUAUACACCAACUUGGAAAAUGCCUUCUCUAAAAAAGGCUUAUACUGAUUUAAUGUUUACACAUCGAGAAUCUUUUUUUCAUUUUGUUAGAAGUAAAAAUGAUAGCGUCAUAAAAUUAACUAACCAAAUACAUGAGGCUAUCAGAAACGUUUAUAUUUCAAAAGUAUCUUCUCUUAUUAGAUCUAUGUCGUCGUACGGUGGCACAUCAAACUUUUUCGAAAUGGUUCGUUUUGAUUUCGUUGUUGAUAAAGAUCUUAAUGUUUAUCUAAUGGAGGUUAAUAUGUCUCCAAACCUCUCUACUGCACAUUUUUCUCAAAAUAGACUUUUAUAUGAGCAAGUUCUAUAUAGCAUGUUUAGUUUAACAGGAGUAGCCAAAACUGUAGCGAAUAAUUGGAUUAAAACGUAAGUUAAUUAGCUAAUUAAAUACUAAUGUUUUCCAAUGUUUUAUAUGUUUCAUGGGGAGUUUUUCCAGAUCUAGGCACGCAUACGAAAUGCAAAUUUCAGAAAGAGAUAUACAUGUGAAUAUUGAACAUUGUGAUUCUCCUCAAUGCACCAAAAACUGCGCUAUCAUUGAGUGUCAGUUAUGUAAAUGGUGUUUAAAUCAAGAAAUAUCGUCUGAUCUACAACGAGCAUAUAAGGAACACAUGAAUCGGAAUAGAUGGCGCCGUGUUUUCCCUCCGCCGUUUGGCAAUCAAAAAAAUGCUCUAAGUUGGAAGAAGGAUACGUAUUUUGACAAAUUGUCGGAAAAAAAUAAAUUGUUAUUUCUCUGGUUUAGAGGAAAAUGUGUUCAAGACAAUCGCUGGUGUGCCUAAUUAUUGUAUAUGUUGAAUUAGUUAUUAUAUUGUUAUUGAAUAUGUUGAAUAUUAAUGGCACUUGGUUAUCGUUAUUUUAGUGUUAAUAAAUAUCUUCCGGAAGAGCUUGUAAUUCAUAAGCCUUUAAAGUCGAGUGUAAAUUAACGAGAAUAACUUAAGUAGUAGUCGUUACG